rnacentral:misc_RNA from 1 species
UUUCCGUAGGUGAACCUGCGGGAGGAUCAUUAUCGUACCAAGUGUGUGAGGCAUGCGAGGGCUGUCGCUGACCCUUUAGUCGUGCACGCCAGAGUGUGUCCUCUCACAUAACAAUCCAUCUCACCCCUUGUGCACCACCGCGUGGGCACCCUUUGAGAUCACACCGAUCUCAGAUGGGGGCUCACGUUUUCACACAAAAAACCCCCUUUAAAAAGUGUAGAGAAUGUCCUAAUUUAUGCAAUCAAUACAACUUUCAACAACGGAUCUCUUGGCUCUC